GGCGCUAAUACCGCAUACGUCCUGAGGGAGAAAGUGGGGGAUCUUCGGACCUCACGCUAUCAGAUGAGCCUAGGUCGGAUUAGCUAGUUGGUGGGGUAAAGGCCUACCAAGGCGACGAUCCGUAACUGGUCUGAGAGGAUGAUCAGUCACACUGGAACUGAGACACGGUCCAGACUCCUACGGGAGGCAGCAGUGGGGAAUAUUGGACAAUGGGCGAAAGCCUGAUCCAGCCAUGCCGCGUGUGUGAAGAAGGUCUUCGGAUUGUAAAGCACUUUAAGUUGGGAGGAAGGGCAGUAAGUUAAUACCUUGCUGUUUUGACGUUACCAACAGAAUAAGCACCGGCUAACUUCGUGCCAGCAGCCGCGGUAAUACGAAGGGUGCAAGCGUUAAUCGGAAUUACUGGGCGUAAAGCGCGCGUAGGUGGUUCAGCAAGUUGGAUGUGAAAUCCCCGGGCUCAACCUGGGAACUGCAUCCAAAACUACUGAGCUAGAGUACGGUAGAGGGUGGUGGAAUUUCCUGUGUAGCGGUGAAAUGCGUAGAUAUAGGAAGGAACACCAGUGGCGAAGGCGACCACCUGGACUGAUACUGACACUGAGGUGCGAAAGCGUGGGGAGCAAACAGGAUUAUAUACCCUGGUAGUCCACGCCGUAAACGAUGUCGACUAGCCGUUGGGAUCCUUGAGAUCUUAGUGGCGCAGCUAACGCGAUAAGUCGACCGCCUGGGGAGUACGGCCGCAAGGUUAAAACUCAAAUGAAGUGACGGGGGCCCGCACAAGCGGUGGAGCAUGUGGUUUAGUUCGAAGCAACGCGAAGAGCCCUACCUGGCCUUGACAUGCUGAGAACUUUCCAGAGAUGGAUUGGUGCCUUCGGGAAGUCGGACACAGGUGCUGCAUGGCUGUC
rnacentral:rRNA from 1 species